GACACUUCACGCUGCCUUCUCGACCGCUCCACUGCUGUACACCUGUUGCUGCUGAUUGAGGUGUCACCGUACUUCAAGGAAGGUCUCCGGAACAGAAGGUACUCGGCGCCCCUGGAAGCUGCCGGACGGAAUGACAUCCGUGAUGCCACCGUGGAUGACGUCACACCACGGACAUGACUAGCCGCGACUGAUGAGGUGUUCGGCGGUAGCCGCUCCACGCCAAUGGCGCUGGGACGCGCCACCGUCGACCUCGGAGCAGCGAGCAGGCAGACAGGACUCUUUGUUCCGCCCCGGGCUGAUCGUGGUAGCACCUGCCCUCUCCACGUCACCGGACUUGAACCCUGCAGCUGCGAGGCGGCCCGGGACUUGCGAACAGCUGCCGCGACGCCCUCCGUUCAAAAAAAGUAAGUCCUCCUCUCAGCUUCGUAGCCACGAAUCAGGCUGCACUUGCGUGCACUGAUCCCCAAACAGUUCUGUUUAAAUUACGCUCUGGAAUGUAAAAAACGAAAAACGAACUGGAAAUUUCUCCCACCCUACCCCUGAUAGGGCGCACGUUUGGGAGGGUAACGUGAGAAUGCCGGCCAUAAGGUCGGAACAAUC